rnacentral:misc_RNA from 1 species
CAAAUGACCGGCCCUUCGGGGCCAUGCUGGAGCGCGGUUGCCCCCCGAACCGCAGCAGCCGAACGGAGCGGUCACCCCCCGGACCGCACCGAACGGUGUUACCCAAUGUGAAAACCCCUCGUUGCUUCGGCAGCACCUCCCCGCCACCGGCCGGAAGGGUCAGCCUGCCGACGGCACUUUACAAAACUCAUCUUGCAGAAUCAGUACAUUGUCUGACAGCGCAGUCGAAUUGACUUUA